rnacentral:rRNA from 1 species
CCUACGGGGGGCAGCAGUAGGGAAUCUUCCACAAUGGGCGAAAGCCUGAUGGAGCAACGCCGCGUGGGUGAAGAAGGUCUUCGGAUCGUAAAACCCUGUUGUUAGAGAAGAAAGUGCGUGCGAGUAACUGUUCACGUUUCGACGGUAUCUAACCAGACAGCCACGGCUAACUACGUGCCAGCAGCCGCGGUAAUACGUAUGUGGCAAGCGUUAUCCGGAUUUAUUGGGCGUAAAGGGAACGCAGGCGGUCUUUUAAGUCUGCUGUGAAAGCCUUCGGCUUAACCGGAGUAGUGCAUUGGAAACUGGGAGACGUGAGUGCAGAAGAGGAGAGUGGAACUCCAUGUGUAGCGGUGAAAUGCGUAGAUAUAUGGAAGAACACCAGUGGCGAAAGCGGCUCUCUGGUCUGUAACUGACGCUGAGGUUCGAAAGCGUGGGUAGCAAACAGGAUUAGAUACCCGUGUAGUC